AAAGGUGGUUAGAGAAAUUAUCCUACAAUAAGCAAGUGUGGACAAGGAUCAAAUAAGCAGAAGAAAUAAUCCUGUUGGAGGGUUUGCUCACACAGAUGAACCAUAAAUGGGCCCUGGGCCUGUGCCAGGAUUCCAUUUAGGAGAAGGGGGAGCUAUUUGGCUGAUUUGUAAGGUACUCAGAAGAGUUUCUGGCAUAGAUGCAGCUCUAUAAGGAUUUUUGAAUCAAACAACUCUGUCAGCCUUCUUAAUGAUAUAUCUUAUUAGAAGCCACAAAUCAAAAUGAUAGUGAUGCAGUCUGAGAAAGAACCAAUCGGCUCAGAUACCAGGUGUGAACAGUUUGUACAAACUUUCUAUGACAUAGCAGCUGAAUACUAACCGGG
rnacentral:lncRNA from 1 species